CCGAGACCGAUUGAAACAGGAAGUGGGAUUCUGAAUUGUGGACUCAACUUCACGUCGUUGCCUAUUAUUCACACCGUGAGCUAUGGUUCAUUGAGCACUUCCUAUUGCUUCCACAAGAUGUCCCCAGUCUUUACAAAGUGUUUUGAGCCUUCUACUGUCGAAACUCAGUGAAUGAGACGCGUUGGAAAUUGGUCACAGGGGGAGGGCCAUCACCAUUAUGACGCCGGCGGCCCUGUCUACCCCCACCUUUGGAAACGUUUUGAAACACAAUACAAUUGUCCCCCUCGAAUCUUAUUGGCUCUCUUGUUGAAACAGGCCCUGAAGAUUUAUGUUAUACAACGUUUGACAUGUUUGAACGAACCUAAAUGGGAGAAAAAUGUUUUUUUCCGAAACGGCUGUCCCGCGCACGGCAGAGCAUUUGGAUACAGCCUUCAGACGCGCUAACAACAGCGAGCUAAUGGAACAUAAAGGAUGGACUUUUUCGACCGAAAAUACAUCUGUUGUGGACCUGGGAUUCCUGGAAGUGCUUUCUGAUGAAGACAACUAAAGGGAGGCCAGGGAGCCUGCAGCCGCGACCACCUAAAGACAUAGCCACAUCAAUGCAGGGCCAGGAAGCUAUGGGUCGAUAGUGCAGGGAAGGAGAGGUCGGCCCCUGCCUCAGAACAGCAUCAAUUCGUUGGGACAUGGACUCUACAAGGUGUCGAAAGCGUUCCACUGGAAUUCUGGCCCAUAUUGAUGCUUCCCACAGUUGUGUGAAGUUGGCUGGAUGUCCUUUGGGUGGUGGACCAUUAUUGAUACACACAGGAAACUCUUGAGCAUGAAAAUACCCAGCAGCAUUGCAGUUCUUGACACACUCAGACCGGUGUGCCUGGCACCUACUACCAUACCCUGUUCAAAGGCACUUAAAUCGUUUUGUCUUGCCCAUUCACCCUCUUAACGGCACACAUACAUAAUCCUUAUUUAACCUGUCUCCUCCCCUUCAUCUACACUGAUUUGAAGUGGAUUUAACAAGUGACAUCAACAAGGGAUCAUAGCUUUCACCUGGU
rnacentral:lncRNA from 1 species